UCCAAAGAAUGGAGGAAUGCAGCUCAUCCCACAUCCAAGUGGAGCUCCGUGCUGGUAUCCCCUCUCCUCCCUGCACUGGGGGUCUCCUGCCUAAAGAGCGCCUUGGAUGGGGCCAGAUGUGUUGAUGCAGCUCAUCAUCAAAGCCAACGAUGCAUCCAACCCUGCUGCAAAGUACCUGGAUGGAGAAAGCCCUCUCUAAUUACUGCUUAGGGAGGGUUGUAGGCUGGGAGCCCUCAUCUCCAGGAGCUGCAUCCAGGAGUGGCUGGGGGCCACCUCUUUAGAUCUCCGAGUGUUGUCCUGGGCACAGACGCUCCACACUGAACAACCUGAGCAUCCCUGGCAGAUUGCUACAGUUGGCUGAACACAUUUUCUCACCACACAGAUAACAACUGCAGCUGCAACUUUCUGUACAGCCCAGUGAAAAUGGGGUUUGUCAGAACACCUCUGUCUGGCUUGAAGAUCCCAGUGCAGCUGCCCUGCACUCAGUGAGAGCUGCCAGUGGCUGGUACUGCCCACAGAUUUUAUCAGCAGGGCCAUGCAGGGGGCAGCAGUCUUGGGGGUAGAUCCCACAAUGUACUGUGUCUCUAGAGAGGAGAAGGUGCUCUGGACAGACAAGAAACUCCUGAAGAAGUGCCACUAAAAAAAACAGGAAAUUGGUUGUGUGCCUUGAAAAAGCCUUGCGGAGCAAUUUGAGAGAGGAUCUGGAGGGUGAUUAAAAUAUCUACAUAUUAAUAGGCUGCGGUAUGACCAACUGACUAACAUUGUUUGCCUGUGGAGAGGGAGGGUUUUAUACCCAGGAUGUAGCAGGGAAAAGCCUGGGUCACCAGAAGGGCCUCAUUCACCUCAGUCAACAAAAAAGUGCAGGAUAAAAUCUGUGGUGUUGCUGGGAUUUAUUUCAAAAACACCUGGUGCAAACAGUUGCUUUCAUUUCCCAACAUUUCAUGUUCCCUCUGCAUUUAC